rnacentral:rRNA from 1 species
AUUGAACGCUGGCGGCAGGCCUAACACAUGCAAGUCGAACGGUAACAGGAAGCAGCUUGCUGCUUUGCUGACGAGUGGCGGACGGGUGAGUAAUGUCUGGGAAACUGCCUGAUGGAGGGGGAUAACUACUGGAAACGGUAGCUAAUACCGCAUAACGUCGCAAGACCAAAGAGGGGGACCUUAGGGCCUCUUGCCAUCGGAUGUGCCCAGAUGGGAUUAGCUAGUAGGUGGGGUAACGGCUCACCUAGGCGACGAUCCCUAGCUGGUCUGAGAGGAUGACCAGCCACACUGGAACUGAGACACGGUCCAGACUCCUACGGGAGGCAGCAGUGGGGAAUAUUGCACAAUGGGCGCAGGCCUGAUGCAGCCAUGCCGCGUGUAUGAAGAAGGCCUUCGGGUUGUAAAGUACUUUCAGCGGGGAGGAAGGGAGUAAAGUUAAUACCUUUGCUCAUUGACGUUACCCGCAGAAGAAGCACCGGCUAACUCCGUG